rnacentral:lncRNA from 1 species
AAUGUGCUUUCUUUGGUACAGCAACACAAGAAAUGAUUAACAGGUUCUACAUUUGCUGAUCUCCAGGCAGGAGGGUAGACAAGACUUGGAGGCUGGCUAAUGCAGCUUUCUAACACAAUUCCAGCCAGCUGUGUAUCCUUAAAUUCCUCUGUAUGUUCCCAUUCUGCAUCUUAGAGUUUGUAACUAAGUUUAAAGCUGUAAAAGCACACUGGAAUACUGCAACAGAGAUCUCAUUUUGGUCACACUGAUCUGAAAAUCAUGUACAAAAUGACAUUUGUAUAUUUUUUCCAUAAGGUCAUCAUAUAGAGCUGUGCAUGGACCUAGUACUAAAUGCUAUGAAAUGUGAAGACAUCCCAGCUAGAGAGAGGAAUGUCUUCAUCAGUGUCAGGACUUGUUUGGGCUCAGGCAAGUGCUUUGUAAUAAAUUAAGGUAUUUUCUGCUGGGCACUCUCUGCAUUUUUUUAGACAUUUAAAUUUGUGUAGUGAAUAGGAUAAGUUUAUAUACACAGUGAAUUUGUUAAAGCAAACAAGAAUUUUAUUCCAGGGCUAGGCUUUCCCUUAUCUCUGUUCCUUGUUUGUUUGUCAUAGCAGAUCAGUAUCUAUGUUCCUUUGUGUUUAAAAAAAAAAAAAAGAAAAAUUGCGACACUUGGAAAUUCUGAGAAUUGAGCUGCAAGAUGAACCAUGUACCAGCUCUGUUUUCAACACAUCAUGACAUCCAUACUGCUGGACUGAAACUGAGUCCAUGAGCUUGGUUCGACCUCGACUCCAUGAAAGGACAAACUGGAUGCAUAUAAUCUCUCCCACCAA